rnacentral:rRNA from 1 species
UACGAGAGGCCCAAACGUUAUUCGGAAUUACUGGGCUUAAAGAGUUCGUAGGCGGCUCAGAAAGUAGGGUGUGAAAGCCCUCGGCUUAACCGAGGAAUUGCGCCCUAAACUACUGUGCUUGAGGAACCUAGAGGUGAGCAGAACAGAUGGUGGAGCGGUGAAAUGCGUUGAUAUCAUCUGGAAUACCGGAGGCGAAGGCGGCUCACUGGGGGUUUUCUGACGCUGAGGAACGAAAGCCAGGGUAGCGAACGGG